CCUACGAGUGACAGCAGUGAGGAAUAUUGGUCAAUGGUCGGGAGACUGAACCAGCCAAGCCGCGUGAGGGAUGAAGGUACAGAGUAUCGUAAACCUCUUUUGUCAGGGCACAAAGGCGGGGACGUGUCCCCGGAUGAGUGUAUCUGUAGAAAAAGCAUCGGCUAACCCCGUGCCAGCAGCCGCGGUAAUACGGAGGAUGCGAGCGUUAUCCGGAUUUAUUGGGUUAAACGGGUGCGCAGGCGGUUUGUUAAGUUAGCGGUCAAAGCCCGGGGCUCAACCCCGGCCCGCCGUUGAAACUGGCAGUCUCGAGUUGGAGAGAGGGAUGAGGAAUGCGCGGUGUAGCGGUGAAAUGCAUAGAUAUCGCGCAGAACUCCGAUUGCGAAGGCAGCAUGCCGGCUCCACACUGACGCUGAGGCACGAAAGCGUGGGUAUCGAACAGGAUUAGAUACCCUGGUAGUC
rnacentral:rRNA from 1 species